rnacentral:rRNA from 1 species
CGGGGUGAGUAACGCGUGAGAAUCUGCCUUCAGGUUGGGGACAACAGUUGGAAACGACUGCUAAUACCCAAUGUGCCGUGAGGUGAAAGCUUUAGUGCCUGAAGAUGAGCUCGCGUCUGAUUAGCUAGUUGGUGGGGUAAAGGCCUACCAAGGCGACGAUCAGUAGCUGGUCUGAGAGGAUGAUCAGCCACACUGGGACUGAGACACGGCCCAG